CGAGUUAAGUACUUAUUUUAAUAGUUUACAUAUCGUCGUGGUUGAAUAUUUUUAAAAAAAAAUAAUGUUCAAGAUUUUAUAUAGGAAAAAAAUUCAGAUCAAGAUGUAGCUUAUAAUUAAGAAGAGAUGGAUUACAAUAAAUUUAUUUAAAUGGAUUAUAAUUUGAAAAAUUAUAUGAAAGCGGAUUUGAUAGUAAUUUUAAUAAAAUUAUUAAAAUGAUUUUAGCUCUAAAAUAUGUACAUAUCGCCCGUCAUUUUCACUAUAAAGUGAAACAAGUCGUAACAUAGUAGGUGUACUGGAAAGUGUACCUAGAAUGACGAAUUAGAGCUUGUUAGAAAGCAUUUUAUUUACAUUAAAAAGUUUAUUGUGAGAAUCAAUAUAAUUUGAAUUUAUUUAAUUAUUUAAUAUAAAAGUUGGUUUUUAUUUAAAUAAAUAAAUUUUUAGUUUUAUUAUUAGAAGGAAAUAAUUUAUUUAAUUAUAGUUUAAUAGUAUUGUGAAAGAAUUAAUUUAAAUUUAUUAAAGAAUAAUUUAAUUUUAGUACCUUGUGUAUCAGGGUGUAUUAAUUAAUAAUUAAUGAUUUAAUUUUCUCGAAUUUAAAAGAGCUAUAAAAUUAUAUUUUUUAUUGUAUUAUAAAUAUUAUGAAUAUUUUUAUAGUAAUGAAACGUUAUUCGUUUUUAAAUAUUUCUAGUUUUUUAAGAAAUAAAUUUAAUUUAUUUAAUAUGAAUAUUUAAUUAAAUUUUUAGUUGAAUAUUAGUAUUAUUAAAUAUUUUAGGGGAUGAGCUUUAAAAUAGAACAUUAUAAAUAAAUUUAAGUGUUAAAUAAAUAGGAUUAAAAGUUUUUAUUUUUAAAAUUAUGUUAUAAUUUUUUUAAAUGAUAAUAAGAUUUAUAUUUAUUUUAAAUUGUGUAUUAAAAAAUUAAUUAGAAUUUUUUUAAUUAAGUUAUAAUGAUAUAAUUAGUAUAAAUUUAGGUAUAUUUAUUUAUAUUUGAGGUAAAUAAAGGAAUUCGGCAAAAAACAUGGCCUUUUGAUAAUAAUAUAAGGUUUAACCUGCCCAAUGAAAGUUUAAAUGGCCGCAGUAUUUUGACUGUGCAAAGGUAGCAUAAUCAUUUGUUUUUUAAUUGAAAGCUGGAAUGAAAGGUUGAAUGAGGAAAUGACUGUCUCUAUUUAAUUUUAUUAGAACUUUAUUUUUAAGUUAAAAAGCUUAAAUAAUUUUUGAAGACGAGAAGACCCUAUAGAGUUUUAUAAUUAAUAAAUUUAGGGAAUUUAGGAUUAAUUUUUUUUAAGUUUAAACAUUAUUUGAUUGGGGUGAUUAAAAAAUUAAAUAAACUUUUUUUUUAUUUUUACAUUGAUUUAUGAAUAUUUGAUCCUUUUAAAGAUUAAAAGAAUAAAUUACCUUAGGGAUAACAGCGUAAUUUUUUUUUAGAGUUCAAAUUAAAAAAAAAGAUUGCGACCUCGAUGUUGGAUUAAAAUUAAUAAUUGGUGUAGAAGCUAAUUUAUUGGGUCUGUUCGACCUUUGAAAUUUUACUUGAUCUGAGUUCAAACCGGUGUGAGCCAGGUUGGUUUCUAUCUCGAAAAAGUUAAUAUAUUUUAGUACGAAAGGACCAAAUAUUUAGAUAAAAUUUUUAAUUUAGAAUAAUAAUAAGUUAUUUUGGCAGAAUAGUGCAAUAGAUUUAGAAUCUUUAUAUGUAAUUUUUUACAAAUAAUACUUGUUGAUCAUAGAUUUUUUAAUAAUUUUAGUUUCUUGUUUAAUUUUAGUUUUUUGUGUAAUAAUUAGUGUAGCAUUUUUAACUUUGUUAGAGCGUAAGGUUUUAGGAUAUAUUCAAAUUC
rnacentral:rRNA from 1 species